UACGAAGGGGGCUAGCGUUGUUCGGAAUUACUGGGCGUAAAGCGUAUGCAGGCGGAUCGUUAAGUCGGGGGUGAAAUCCCGAGGCUCAACCUCGGAACUGCCUUCGAUACUGGCGAUCUUGAGUCCGGGAGAGGUGAGUGGAACUCCGAGUGUAGAGGUGAAAUUCGUAGAUAUUCGCAAGAACACCAGUGGCGAAGGCGGCUCACUGGCCCGAUACUGACGCUGAGGCACGAAAGCGUGGGGAGCAAACAGG
rnacentral:rRNA from 1 species